UUUUACUACUUAUGUAAAACUCCAGCACUGUUUUGUCAAACCUUUGGAAAAAACACUAUGGACAGUCGGUUUCGUCUCUUUAAAUGAUUUCGUUGGAUCCUUUAGAAUAUUUUCACUUCCAUUUAUUUUUGUUUUUUAAUUUUCCUUUAAUUUUAUUUAUAUUUUUUAGCUAAAUUCCCUGUUUUUCCAUGUAAACUGUGAUUUUCCUGCAGCCUUCCAGCCUGUGGCUGAUUUGUCCCUCGUGUCUCCGUGUGUCCAGGUGUCCAUCGGGAAAAUGUACGAGGCUCAGCGGACGGUGGUGGACGCGCCGUGACGCUUCGACCCGGCCUGUGAAAUGCAUUGUGGGAGAUGUAGGCCUGAGUGAAGCUGGACGUUGUUUCUGCCUGAUGUUUCUCAUGUUUCCUCUGCAGGAAAAACUCAAACCUUAGUUUGUUUUUCCUGAAACAUGAAACAUCAGGAGGAUCAGAGUGGCUGGAUGAAAACAUGUGAAACUAAUUGAAGCUGAUUCACGCUUAGUUUUUAUCGAGUCCGUCCGGCAGGAGACGAGGACAGCGCUCAACUGUCAGCCAUUUUCCUCUAUGACGAUAACACUGUUUGUUUUUACAGUGCAGGACUUUAGGUUUCAUCUCUCAAUUGAAUCAAAAUGCUAAUUUUUUUAGUCUAAAAUAAUCUGCAGCCUCCUCCGCCUUCACAUUAAGCCCCGCCCCCAGAGGAGUCACCAUGGCAACGGUUCAUGUAGCAGAUCGUUGUAUUGGGAUCGGUUCUGGUCAAUCAGAUCGUCUCUGAGCUUCUUCCUGUUUCAGUCGUGAAAUUAAAAGUUUCUCUAAUAACGGUUUAAGUUUCUGUUUCUUUAUUCGGUCGGUUUCGUCUCUUUUCUGACUAGUUUUUAUGUCAUUUAUUUUUAUUUUCUCAGUUUUAAGUUUUUUUUAAUGUUGGCAGCUCUGAGUCCAAAAGCCUGAAGCCAUGAAGGGAACCGGGUCGGUCCGGUCCGUGUUCACCGAAGGAUCAAUUUAAACCUGAAACCUGUGAAACGUCUCUGAGCAGAAACGGUCAGUAGACCUUCAUCUUCAUCAGUCCAACCAGGACAGACUGGGUCUAAACUGGUACCGAGAAACAGCUGCCUGUUGGCCAAAGACCAGGAGACGCUCCAACUGGUUCCCUCUGCGAUGCAUUCAGGGACAUCUGGGAACCAGAGCUCCUCUGCGAUGCAUUCAGGGACAUCUGGGAACCAGAGGUCCUCUGCGAUGCAUUCAGGGACAUCUGGGAACCAGAGCUCCUCUGCGACAGAUGCACACUGUUGCUAAUGUGCUAGUAGUGAAGCUAAUGUUUAUUUAGCGCUUAGCUAGCUGAAAACAUUUAGCUUCACCUCAGUUAAUUCUUCUGAAUAAAUUCUUAAACAAUAAAUUUUUUAGGCUGUUUUAUAAAUUUCAGUUAAAUUAACGUGUUGAAGUUUUGUUUAUCGACUGAUCAAAUAAGUUCGCUGUUUCUGUUAUGCUCUUAUUUUGAAGUCUGUUUCCUCUGCUCGCUUCUCUUGUUUUGUUUUAAAUAAACUUUAUUGAGAAAGUUUCUCAACGAGGAGUCCAGAUGAAUGCGACACUUCCAGGAGCGACCACCAGGCGGUGCUGGUGGUUUCUUCUUCUCCUGACGCCGCCCAGGUGUUGGGUGGAGCAGGUGAGUGGCCCCUGGGGCCUCCGGCUGCUAUUCUUAGAUCCGUUUGUUGGUUCAAACACUGAUCUUGUUGCUCAACACCUGCUGGACCUUUUGCACAUGCUCAGUACAGGACGGACUUUAGACCCGGUUCUGACCCACUUCUGAUGAGCCUGCAGAGGAGAAAACAUGGAGGCGAGGCUGAAUGUCCUGAAAAAACUCCUGACUGAAGGUUCCUGUGUCUCCUGUCCAACUGAGGAAGACGAGGACAUGUCGGGUCAUCACGUCUCCAUUUCCUGUCCUACCAUCACAAACGUAACUCAGCUGAGUUUUGAUCAGAUGAUAUUUCAGCUGCAGAAUCUGAGAAACAUGAUAAAUAUGCAGAAAACUCCUCAGUGACGCUGCCAGGCUCGGUGGAGGAUCUGUGGUGCUGAGGGAUUAUCAACAUGCUAUUCAACCAUUUACUCAGAUUUAAACAUUAUUUGAUUUAAAUGAACUCACUAUUUAAUCAAAACACCUGAAGUAAUGUUUAAUGAUGUCAGACUAAAAUACAUUUUUAAAAACUAAAUUAAAA